ensembl:snRNA U6 U6 spliceosomal RNA
GUGCUUGCUUCAGCCACACAUAUGUGAGAAUUGGAAUGAUACACAAAAGAUUACCAUGGCCCCUGCACAAGGAUGACGCACAAAUCCAUGAAGCAUUCUAUACUUUA